rnacentral:lncRNA from 1 species
AUUUUUUUUACUUUAUUUCCUUCACUUCAUUUCCUUUUUUUCCUUGUAUAAGUGAAAUAUAUCCUCUUUUACAACUUGAAAAACAUGGAGAUAUGUAUUACAUGAUAGCACAUAUAUAACAUAUCAUAUUAUCUGCAAUAUUGGGGAUGGAGGAGUAGAGAGAAGGAGGGAAAGAAUAUUGUAAUAAAAUGGAUAAUCUGAGUGGAACUAAUUCUGGUCCUUGUGAAUGGAUAUACUCUGGCUGACUAGAGAGAUGCUAAGGGGAACCUUCAGGAUGCCUAUUUGUUAUGGAGAUAGAAGUACUUCUGAGACAUGGAGAGAUAGAGAGAUGCUGCUAGAGGGGUUGUUCUGGGCUGCCUAUUGAUCCCUAUUAAUGGCUAAUAAAUCAAACUAUUUCCUACUGUCUACCCUUCACCUCCCAGUUUUCCACCCAAAGCUCUCUUGCCACCCUUUCCCUUCCCCCGGUCUUAGUCAGUUACCUUUCUAUAUAACUUAAAGGUGAACUGUGAGAUUUAGAGAAGAUACUCUUGUUCUCUUUCUCAGGUAAGGAGGUUUAUUGGGAAAGAUAAGACAGGAUGGAAAUUGAAGUGAGAGGAAUGAGGGGGUCCCUAAUCUCUAAGGAGAAUUAGGAGGGCUUGGGAAAUGUCAGUCUAGUUACAACUGUGACUCAGAGAGUGUCAGAGAUAUGGAGGACAGUUGUUAAAUCUUCCUUCUUCAGUCAGAUAAUCUCUGCUUGAAUAAUUCAAGUCCAGACUCUGUCAAAAACCACAAAGGUCUCUCUCUCUCUCUCUGUCUAGGUCAGGAAAAGCCAGUCUCUCUUGGUCAGGAACUCCAGAGAAGAGGUUUUUCCCUUGGUCAGUAACCCCCAGAGAAGAAAUCUCAAUUCAUCUCCCCUGGCCAGCUCCAACUGACUCUUCUGGGAACAUUCCAUUUGGAAUCUUCACUUUGAUUGACAGAUCAGGUCCCCAGCUUUGUUUCUUGCAUGCUUGGCUUGGCUUGGUGAAAUACAAAGUAGGAGAUACAAAUCAAGGAGUAUCUACGAUGUCUCUUCAGACAAAGAUCAAAGAACUGGACAAGCAGGUCAAUUCGGGUUUUUAG